AGAAAGGCUAAGGCGUGACAUUAUUAGCUGGCAGACGUCAUCAUAUCUUGGUUGCAUUCUCGAUUACCCUGUUUGUGUGUGUACAUAAACUUGGAGGAUGUGGAACAUGAAAGAUGGGAAAUACUGAAGUGAAAUGAAUGCAGGAGAUAAAAAACAGAACAGUGUCAAGAAAAACGUGAAGAGUGCCUGAAGUAUGACCACACGUUUCAGCCAUUCAUCAGCAAGGUAGAUUCUUUAUAACGCUAAUGGAACUUCAUCCCUUUGUGUGAGCACAGUAGCAACUUCAUUUUAUAUGACCUGCAGGCCUAUAAUGUCGUAGUAACCCAUGAAAGCGUCUGUGUUCAGCGUGUGGCCAGGAUAAGGACAGUUCUCCGUGGCUGAAAGGAAGCCUAAGUAAAGAACAGCAUUUUAUGGCCAGCUGUGUGUUUGCACACGCCAACAGCCGCACUGAACGGGUCCUCUGUCGGUGUCUCCGUGCAGGGUGAGGAGAGGCCUGGCCGAGCAGCUUCUCCUGACGGCUCCACAGGCCAGUGGAAGCGAGAAGUGAAACUGCUCAGGGCUGCCCUGUGCUGGGGGGAGGAAGCUUCUGGGUCUCACUUUCGAUUCCUGAGGUUUGCACCCAGUUUCACUGGAUGUGUGCACACGGAAGGGAGCUGGGUAUGUUCUGAUAACAGGCUGUAUUUUCCCCAGCCUGUUCCUGCAGAUUGUUUGGUAUUACUGUUUGGUCUGACAGAGGGCUACCAAGCUUUAGGAGAUAGCGUGACGAAAUGUAGAAAUUCAUUUGGGAAUGGUGAAAUACUUUUCAGCUUGAGGCUGUUGUGUUAUUUCAGAGACGAGCUGGUCCCUUACAUUCCCAGCAUUCGUUAUCUAUCAGUGUCAGACAAAUAUUCAGAAAGGCCUCUUGGGCCUGCUGUCUAGCUAACAUACCACACAUACAGCUAUAGCAAUAUAUGCUCUGCUGAAACCGGCUCUCUUUGGCCGGCUAUUGUACUGCUCCUGCCUGAAAUACUUAAAUACCGAUGCAGAAACCUCACAGCUAAACUACCAUGUUGCUCAACCAGCUACAUUGCAUAGAUUUUUUUCUGGCUGUGUUAAGAUUAUUUGUCAGGCAGAAAUAUCUGUCGGGCAUUUUGGAAAUAUUUAGUCUAAUAUUUGCAAUGGAAAGAGAAAAAGGGGAGUUAAUUUAUGGCAGCAAAAGUCACUUGAGAAGGGGCUCUGCUGUUCUGCAUACUGAAAUUGUCUAUCAGUUCCAAAAGAAAUUAUAUCAAUUACAGUCAAAAUAUUUGUACAUUUACUGAAGUGUGGGAACUUUCAUUAAGACUGAAUUAUGUCACAGUUCUGUUUUCUACAGUGUCAGUAUAUUUCUGGAAAUAAAAUGAUGUG
rnacentral:lncRNA from 7 species